GUGACUAAUUAUAAAUAUCUAUCACAUCUUAGGCCCAUAAGUCUUUGUAAUGUUAUGUACAAAAUUGUUGUGAUGGUCUUGGUGAAUCGAAUGAGUUCUAUAUUAGGAAGUUCCAUAAAUGAAGCCUAGGGGGCUUUUAUCCCAGGAUAACAUAUAUCGGAUAAUGUAAUAAUCGCUUAUGAGGUCCUUCAUUCUUUGAAGAUGAC
rnacentral:lncRNA from 1 species